rnacentral:lncRNA from 1 species
AAAAUGUUAAUAGAAUUUGUUACUUUAAUUGAUUUUUAUAGUAUAUAAAUAAUGAAUUUGGAUAAGACUUUCUCCAAAGCAAUGACAUACUAGUUUUAUGAAAAUAUAAUUAUUUAAAUCAUUCAUUCAUUCAUUUUUUUUAAUCAUUUUAAAUAUAUAUAUGUUUGUGCUGUAUUUAGACCCUUCUACAACGAAAUUUGUUUUACAUGCACACGUAUAAAAAUUGCGGUUUUUUCACGCAAUCAUAGGUUUGAAUGUAGUUUUCAAUUUAGACUUGUUUAUAUAUAUAUAUAUAUAUGCAGCUUUUUGCUGAUAUAUUGCUGAUAUAGAUAUAGCAAUUGAAUGUGGAUGAAAUACUGUAAAUUCAGGAAGUACAUAUAUAGCUGUAUGUAGAUUUUCAUGAAUUUAAGAUAAUUUAUCUAAUUUUUUUCCUUUCUUCCAAAAUUGCUAUAGUAAAUGCAUCACAAUAAUUUCUGAAUUUACAGUAUAUGGUUUGAGUUAUAUAAUAAAAUUUUGUGGUGAAAACAUACUUGAAAUGUACCUGUACGGCUUUCAAUUUGUAUAGUAAGAAAUAUCUGAUCACAUUAUUAACCUAGAACUUCCUCAAUAAAUGUGCAAUAUGCAUCAGUGCCAGAUUUACACUUGUUUUAGACAAUUUGAGACAGUGAUUUGAGUGAAUGGGCAAUAUUUUUUUCUGCAUCAAUUUAGAAACAAACUGUUAACCUAGGAUGACAUCAAAAUGGUUUCUUUGAAAUAUUUAUCAUAAUAAGUACAUGUAAAAAAAUUAGAUAUAGAGGGGUUCAAAAUUUAUUAUGAUUAAAAGAGAGAAAUAAACAACACUCAGAACAGACUAGGAAAAUAGUUUAUUAUUUUUAUACGACCGCAAAAUUUGAAAAAUUUUUCGUCGUA